CCCUUAGAUGUUCUGGGCCGCACGCGCGCUACACUGACGAAUGCAACGAGCUUAUAACCUUGGCCGAAAGGUCUGGGUAAUCUCCAAAUUUCGUCGUGAUGGGGAUAGAUUAUUGCAAUUAUUAAUCUUCAACGAGGAAUGUCUAGUAAGCGCAAGUCAUCAGCUUGCGUUGAUUACGUCCCUGCCCUUUGUACACACCGCCCGUCGCUCCUACCGAUUGAAUGGUCCGGUGAAGCGUUCGGACCGUGGCCUUUGGACGGUUCGCCGUCUGUUGGCUGCGGGAAGUUCGUUAAACCUUAUCAUUUAGAGGAAGGAGAANUCGUAACA
rnacentral:rRNA from 1 species